AUACGGAGGGUCCAAGCGUUAUCCGGAAUCAUUGGGUUUAAAGGGUCCGCAGGCGGUCAAUUAAGUCAGAGGUGAAAGCCCAUCGCUCAACGAUGGAACUGCCUUUGAUACUGGUUGACUUGAGUUAUACGGAAGUAGAUAGAAUAAGUAGUGUAGCGGUGAAAUGCAUAGAUAUUACUUAGAAUACCGAUUGCGAAGGCAGUCUACUACGUAUAUACUGACGCCGAGGGACGAAAGCGUGGGGAGCGAACAGGAUUAGAAACCCCAGUAGUCC
rnacentral:rRNA from 1 species